CUGUCCACCUUUUUAACGAGGUGUGGUCCGCCAGCCAGUGGACAUUCACGUCAUUAUUCAGGAGAAAUUCAAACUGAACACACGAUGACACAAUACCCCUUCAGCAGGGAGCCAUGUGGGAGGGGUCAACAGGCAUAACAUUCCCCCUGCUCCCGAACACUCAGUCUGAGCAACUCCUGAUUCACUGACUGCAGUACAACGGUGGACACUUUUUUCUGGAGUCCUAUAUUUUGAUUGAGGAAGCAAAAAAAAAAACGUUUAGUGUUCAAUGAACAUGGCUUCUCUGAAAACUGUGCUCUAUCUGGAAAUCUGUCUGAACGCUUGGAUGAUCACUACUGCAGAGAAGCACUUGGUUCCAAAAGCAGAGAACGUUCGCUGGUUUUCAUUGGACUUUAAGACCAUCCUCACCUGGACUACCAAAGCAAGUCCUGACUACACAUUCUCUGUGCUGUACUCCAGGACAAGCAAAGCCAUACAGUGGAGCGACAAUGCUUGAUACUGCUCGUGUUUACACUGAUGCCUUCACUGACGAUACAGAAUUCCCACUGAGGGGUUCAAUAAAGACGCUCUCAGCAAUGUCAUUGUUUCGGCUGACUUCCUGACUGUUGCUGUUGUUGUCAGCUGCAGUUAAUGCAUGUUGGACUAAACUUAUAAGCUGUGUCUCUGCAGUCGAGGUGUGCAGCCACUGCAUAUGUGAAGAUGAAAGUCAGACGGUGUGAGAAAUGAAACACAAUUCUUCUCCUUAGAGUGCGCUGAGGUUAAAUGCUUCCCUCCAAUUGUUGAAGUCGCUUCUUCCUGCUCGUUGCUGUUGGUUUUACAUGCACAAAUUCUUUGUUGUUGUGUUUUAGUUAGUGUUG